AAAGAAUCAAGGGUUUAUCUUAUGUUUCUUAUACCUUGGGGUAAUUAAAUAGUUGACAAGAAAAAGUUUCUGUAUUAUAGAAGCAUUUCUGCUAAUAAGUGAAUGAAAGUGAGGGAAUAUUUGCAUGCUCUAGUGAAAUAAUGAACUUGGACAAAAAUUCCUAACACUAUGCAAAGAAAGACAACUGGGCAUUACAUAUCUGCUAAUGAAAAGUCCUGUCAUUAUCAUCAGUGGUGUCUUCUAGUUAAAAUAUCCAGUCUGUUAAGUUAUUAAGUCUGUGUCCAACUACCCAUUGCAGAAUGAGAGCAGGGAGUACAGGGGACAGCAAACAGAUGAAAAGACACCACCUGGAUGCAGUCAGGAAUACCCAGAGUACUCUCCAGAACAAAUCACCCUGGUGUCCUCACCAUAUAAAUGGCGAGAAGGGGAGAGUAGGUAGCAAGCGCUGUCCGUGCUCACCCUGGUCUUCUAUACUCUUCACGUACUCAGCCUGACUUCCAGUGGUCACUGGCUCCUCUUUGUGCCAAAGGAGCUUUCCCCCUGAACCGUGGGAGGCUGCUCUGUCCAAUUUUGAAAGGUCAGGAGUGCCAGGAAAUCAAUCCCCGCAGAAGCAGCCCUUAAUCAAUGAUUAAAUCAAGUGGGUGAAUAAGUACCCAGCUUUUUCAACUCUCAGGGAGAUAAUCCUGAGGGGCGUAUGUGUGUGUGUUAAUACCUUUUCCAAGAAUUGCCCUGAAAGGAUUAGGCUUCUAUUCUGCACUGGUAAAUGGUUAAAUGGCCUCGUUGGUUUAUGUUUAAUAUCCUUUGUUUGUUGUCUUCUCCCCCUGAUUCCCCUCUCUCUUUCCCUUGUGGUGUUCCAUGAACUUAAACUCCAUGGACUUGAAUCCUGUGUUACGGUCUCUUUUUGGAGGAACUCAAACUAUAGCGGAGGAAGAGCUUUGGCUUAAAAGUGACUUAAAAGUAAUACUUAUUUAUUUUUCCUGCACUGUGUGGCGUGUGGGGUCUUAGACCCCUGACCAGGGAUUGAAUCCGUGCCCCUUGCCUCAGGAGUGCAGAGUCUUAACCACUGGACCAUCCCAGGGAAGACCCAGAAUUUAUUUCCUAAGUUGUGAUCCUGAUGCAGAAUGGCUGACUUCUACUGUUCCCCUUCCUGUGACCCUAGUGCUCCACGGCUUCCUGAACCUUCCCUAAAGUUCUCAUCUGAAUCCACGGUAGGGCUUCCCCGGUGGCUCGGUGGUAAAGAAUCAGCCUGCCAAUGCAGGAGACACGGGUUUGAUCCCAGGUCCUGGAAGAUCCCCUGGAGAAGGAUGCUGCUGCUGCUAAGUCACUUCAGUCGUGUCCGACUCUGUGCGACCCCAUAGACGGCAGCCCACCAGGCUCCC
ensembl:lncRNA